CGGGGCAGAGCCAUGCCUUGUAUAUGUCGGUUUGCUUCUGCCCACUUUCUUUGAGACUCUAGGUUAUCACGCAUCCUCUGGUGGGAUGUGUUUUCCAAAGAUGGCUGCAACAGUAUCUCCUUGUAUCAGUCCCUGCGGCUGCUGUAACAAAGUACCACAGACUGAGAAGCUUCAACAACAGACAUUUAUAGUCUCUCUCAGUUCUGGAGGCUGGAAGUCUGACAUGCAGGUGUCUGCAGGGCUGGUUUGUCCUGAGGCCUCUCUCCUUGGCGUGUAGACGGCUGUCUUCUCCCCGUGUCCUAGUCCCUUCUAAUAAGGACACUUCUUAGAAGUGUACAGAAAUCAUGUUGUCUUAGGGCCCACCUUCAUCUCAACGAGAUCAUCUACAAAGAUCAGGUCACAGCUGACGUCCUGGGGUAGGACUCCAUCGUAUUUUUCUGGGGACACCAACGACACUCCAUUUCCCAUGCUCCCAUUGAGCGGUGGGGUCCCUGUCCCCUCCCUGGGUAGAAGUGAUGUCACAUGACUUCGGGGUUAGGUCAUAAAGGUGAUGCUUGUCUCUGAUCUCGGAACCUGACCUCCAUGCUGUGAGGAAGCCCAGACGGCCCGCAGAGAGGCCACAUGGGGGCAAACUGAGCCAACAGCUGGCAGCAACUCAGGGCCCCCCCGUCCACGCCGAGCCGCCCCGGCUGGUGCCUCAUGGGACAGAGAUGACCCUUCCCUGCCAAUCUGCACCCACAUUCCCUGGGCCAGGGGGUGGAAUGUGCUGAUUGGCCAGGACCCGAUCCUGGAAGCAGGCUGAUAGACGGUCAUCGCUGUUACCUGUGUCUGGAAACGGGGCUUCCUGACUCCGCGUGUCAGAUGCAGGAGAGUGCCCGACCUCUCUGCCCAUCUCUUCUCCUUCCCCACGCUUUGGCCCCGUUGCGGUGGGACCAGGCCCUCCUGCGUGUCUGCCGGGGGCUCCGGCUUAUACUACUGAUGACAGUGUCCCCAGGAAAGCCCUUGGGCUCCCCCCUCCUCCUUUGCCCUUCGCGCCAGCCAAGGAACAGAAGAGGUCAGGAGAUGGGAGGAGGUGGUGAUUCUGCUUCACGGCCGCGGGGGCUCCGUGGCUGAGCUAUGCCCGGCAGCGUAUUCAUGAAGACCAGGCACAGCCUCCUAGUUGCUUAAUGAUGGGCUUCAUUAAAAGGGAAGAUCAGUAACCAGGGUAAUAAAAGCUCAAAGAUAAUGGAAACAGUUAAACCGCUUUGUCCUAUAGGUAACAUAAAAGGAUACAUCCGUCUAAUGAAUGCUUCCUUGAAGCCAAGCUUCCUGGCUCUUCCAUACGGACAAUGUGGGUUGAAUUAAAAAUGAUCAUAUGUGCAGUGCAGUGUCAAGACCACAGACAGAAGCUUCAGGAAGGGUAACAUGCCCACUCUCACAAUUUCCCUGAUUUGGGUGUGAAUCCCUUGUUCGGGGACCAACCCCUAAGGAGGGAACCACAGAGAGCCUGUCUGUGUCAUGUAUGUCUGUGUGGCCUGUGUCUGCCUUUUUAUCAUUCAUUCACUCAUUCAACAAACACUUGUAUUCAGAAGAUACAGUGAUGAGUAGGGAUGGAUAUUUUGGUUUUCAGGGGGCCUUCUAGUCUAGCAGGAGAGACAGACACUAAUCAAGUAACCACAUGAUUACAUUUCUAUAAACUUUGGUAAGUGCUCUGAAAGAAAGCAUAUGGGACUACAAAGAGAAAAGCAGGAGAUCCUGACAUUCUGGGAGGGAGGCUAAGAUUGGAAAGCUGAGCAGCAGCUAAGUUGAUGGAAGGGAAACAGAUGAGGCAGAGGGAACAGCACAUGCAAAGGCCCUGAGGCAGGAGAGGGCCUGGCACAUCCAAGGAAUCACACGAGGACCAGGUGGUUAGAACACAGUGAGAAGGGAGAAGAGACGAGAGGUGAGGUGGGGGCAGCAGGCCUGGACCCCCGGGGCCUUGGAGACAACAUCAAGGACUUGAGUAUUAUCCUUAAAGCAAUAGGGGCUACUGGGACUGUGGGAGCAGAAGCAAACACGCCAAGCCGAGGUCCCGGGAGGACAGAGGGGCGGGGGAGGCCAGAGCGUGGGAGAUGCACUCAGCUGCGCCUCAAGGUAAAUUCUCAGGAACACUGGGCUCGCAGAAGCGCCGCUGCUUCUCCAUCCACAGGGAUGUGAGACAUCCGGAAGAUGUGACAGCAGGAACCGCUGGACUUGAGCGAUUCUGCUGGUGGGGAGGGAAGUGGAGGUGUGAGCCUGGGAAGACUCCCCACCCAGUGGCCACACCUGAGUGAACUACCUGCCUGAAUACCCAGCGACCCACGGCUCCCGCGGCACCUGCUAAACAAACACAGGUGCUUUCUCGUGAAGCAGGUCGCUGGGUUACCUGAGAGGAGGGAGACAGAACCUGACAGGCUCUCAUGAACCCAACUCAUCACCCAGUGGGAAGCAGGGCCCCAGAGAGGGCACCCCAGGAAGAGAAGCUUUGGUCUGGAGAGAGGUUUUUGUCCACCAGCAGCUGGACAGAGCUCAGGCUGAGGGCACCCGUGUUCCAUGCCAAGCCCUCUGGAGCCCCGAGCUCUGGGCUGUCACACACCUGGGGGGUGACCGGUGCCGAGAUGACUGUUGUCUGGCUUACCUGUGUCCAGUGGGCCAU